rnacentral:rRNA from 1 species
UCUUCCCUCUUGCUUCGUGCCUAAUACAUGCAAGUCGAGCGGACAGACGAGGAGCUUGCUCCUCUGACGUUAGCGGCGGACGGGUGAGUAACACGUGGAUAACCUACCUAUACUACUGGGAUAACUUCGGGAAACCGGAGCUAAUAACGGAUGAUAUAUUGAACCGCAUGGUUGCAUAGUGAAAGACGGUUUUGCUGUCACUUAUAGAUGGAUCCGCGCCGCAUUAGCUAGUUGGUAAGGUAACGGCUUACCAAGGCAACGACGCGUAGCCGACCUGAGAGGGGGAUCGGCCACACUGGAACUGAGACACGGUCCAGACUACUACGGGAGGCAGCAGAAGGGAAUGGUCCGCAAUGGGCGGAAGCUUGACGGAACAACGCCGCGUGAGGGAUGGAGGUCUUCGGAUCGUAAAACUCUGUUAUUAGUGAAGAACAAAUGUGUAAGUAACUAUGCACGUCUUGACGGUACCUAAUCAGAAAGCCACGGCUAACUACGUG